GCGGGGGUAGCUCAGUGGUAGAGCUCCAGCCUUCCAAGCUGGUUGUCGCGGGUUCGAGCCCCGUCCCCCGCUCCA
rnacentral:tRNA from 1 species